rnacentral:lncRNA from 1 species
ACAGCUUCAUGCACCCAAACAAAUAACCAUGAAUGAACAAAAAUCAACAAAAUCACCCUACAUUUUCAAGUCGCAGCAGUAUCAACACACUCUAAGUGAAGGAUAUAAACUUGAGUUAUGUUACAAAUUGACCUCGUAUUGGCUUCAACAAAACGAUUCGGGUCUCCAGGUGGUCGAUGGAACCCGGAUCAAUACAUGGUACAACUAUUGUGUUUCUUCUUCACUUCCAAAAGAGAAAUGCUUCAUGAUUUGCUGAUAUUAAAGUUUUUUUUUUUCAACCAAGCUUCAUGACAUGAAAGAUUUGCUGAUAUUAAACGAUUCGGGUCUCCAGGUGGUCGAUGGAACCCGGAUCAAUACAUGGUACAACUAUUGUUUUUCUUCUUCACUUCCGAAAGAGAAAU